UAGGGAAUCUUCGGCAAUGGGGGCAACCCUGACCGAGCAACGCCGCGUGAGUGAAGAAGGUUUUCGGAUCGUAAAGCUCUGUUGUAAGAGAAGAACGUGUGUGAGAGUGGAAAGUUCACACAGUGACGGUAACUUACCAGAAAGGGACGGCUAACUACGUGCCAGCAGCCGCGGUAAUACGUAGGUCCCGAGCGUUGUCCGGAUUUAUUGGGCGUAAAGCGAGCGCAGGCGGUUUACUAAGUCUGAAGUUAAAGGCAGUGGCUUAACCAUUGUUCGCUUUGGAACCUGGUAAACUUGAGUGCAGAAGGGGAGAGUGGAAUUCCAUGUGUAGCGGUGAAAUGCGUAGAUAUAUGGAGGAACACCGGUGGCGAAAGCGGCUCUCUGGUCUGUAACUGACGCUGAGGCUCGAAAGCGUGGGGAGCAAACAGG
rnacentral:rRNA from 1 species